GCAUCCCUGUAUUUUUUUUCAUAUAAUGGCCACAUUUGUGCUCCAGACUCUGCCCUCCGGAAAGGGGGUGCAGAUGUUUGUGACUACUCCAAACUUCCUGUAAUCCAUUGCCAUUUCCAGCCAGGGGAAUCGUGGGUUGGCUGCUGUGAAGAAUCAGUGCCUUGGCUGGCGCAGCCUGCCCAUGCUGCCAUUGCUACACAGCUGCUUCGACCCCUUCUUCUUCAGCUGCUGCUUUUCAUGGACUUUCACAAAAGAAAACUCAAGUGGAAGCUGCUAAAAGGCCCCAACCCAUCACACCACAGGCAUGUUUGGAACAUGAUCCUGAGUUGCAGGAGUUCCUGGAGGACUUAUGCUUCUCACCUAAAGUGUUGGAUUGCCUUGUCCCAGAAUGGUUUC
rnacentral:lncRNA from 1 species